ACUGAAGGGUUGGCACGCCAAGUGAACCCAAAAGCAACUUCUGAAAGCGUUCCAGGAAACAGGAGUCUCUGCAACAACUGUGUAGUACAUGGAAGUCAGAGAAGAUAAGGAAGCAGCCACUGGAGAGCUUCUAAGAUGUCUGAGCACAGUGUGCAGUGCCAGCAGAGACCAGAAGAGGGUUCCAGUUCUCUGGAACUGGAAAUACCACUGUUACCUACCGUAUGGAUGCUGAGAACUGAACCCGGUCCUCUGCAAGAAUUACCAAUGCUCUUAACUACAAAGCCAUCUAGCUCCCAGCUAUGAUCUCAGUGACUGUUUUGCUCUGCCCUGGAUAAGUAAUGAUCACUGUCAGCGUGACUGAAUUAGAGUCCCCUGGGAGACGUGCCUCUGGGCAUGUCUCUGAGGGUGGUUUUAGAAAGGACGACUCUCACUCUGAAUGGCUUUGGGGUCCCAUGGUUUGGGGACCUGGACUGAAUCAAAAGGAGAAAUUGAGCAGAGCUGCAGCGUUCAUCUCUGUCUGCCCUCCCCUUCGCCCCCCCCCCCACCACGGCGCAUGUCAUGUGACCAGCUGCCUCCCCUUCCUGCAUCCAAGCCUUCUCACCACCGUGGAGUACACCCUCACACAGUGAGCCGAAAUAUAGACCUUCGUUACAUUACUUUUGAAGGGCAUUUUGUCACAGACACAAGGAAAAUAACCACUAACGACCCAAGCAUAGUCACAGGCUGCGUGUUUUGGCAUGACCCGCCUCCUUGUCUAGAGAUGGAGCCUCCGGUUGGCACUUGUUUGGCGGGCCACAGUUGGUUCAUGUUAACGUGGUGACUUCCUGUAACAAGUCUGUCAACUCCAUGUGAGAUGCUAAAAAACAAAAACAACAACAACAACAACAAGCCAGAAUAUCCCUCUUAAUAUUUCUUGAAAAUGUUUUCAUCAAUUUCAAUAUCCAGACUUCUAAGUGGAAAAAGCUAAUUACAGAAAACACACAUACUAUAUGACUCUACCGUAUGAGUCCAAUAAAGGCAAAUUUAGAGUCAGAAAGUAAACCGGUGACCCAGCAAGGCUGGGCUUGGCACUAAACAUACAAGGCGUGGGAGUAACAAAAAACAGUGGUAAUGGUUGCACAUACACGUGACUAUA